CGGACGGGUGAGUAAUGUAUGGGGGUCUGCCUGAUGGCGGGGGAUAACUACUGGAAACGGUAGCUAAUACCGCAUAAUGUCUACGGACCAAAGCGGGGGACCUCCGGGCCUCGCGCCAUCAGAUGAACCCAUAUGGGAUUAGCUAGUAGGUGAGGUAACGGCUUACCUAGGCGACGAUCCCUAGCUGGUCUGAGAGGAUGAUCAGCCACACUGGGACUGAGACACGGCCCAG
rnacentral:rRNA from 1 species